UUGUCAGCCAAUGGUUGGUUGAACGCUUUCAGGUGAUUUGUGCUUUUGGUUAUUUGACGGCGUCUCUCUUUUUAU
rfam:Prosthecochloris sp. GSB1, complete genome.